rnacentral:rRNA from 1 species
GUGUCAGCAGCCGCGGUAAUACGAAGGGGGCUAGCGUUGUUCGGAAUUACUGGGCGUAAAGGGCGUGUAGGCGGCUCGUUAAGUCAGGUGUGAAAUUCCUGGGCUCAACCCAGGACGUGCGCCUGAUACUGGCGAGCUUGAGUCCGGGAGAGGAUGGUGGAACUCCCAGUGUAGAGGUGAAAUUCGUAGAUAUUGGGAAGAACACCCGUGGCGAAGGCGGCCAUCUGGACCGGUACUGACGCUAAGGCGCGACAGCGUGGGGAGCAAACAGGAUUAGAUACCCGUGUAGUCC